rnacentral:rRNA from 1 species
UACGGAGGGAGCUAGCGUUGUUCGGAAUUACUGGGCGUAAAGCGCGCGUAGGCGGCUUUGUAAGUUAGAGGUGAAAGCCCGGGGGCUCAACCCCCGGAACUGCCUUUAAGACUGCAUCGCUUGAAUCCAGGAGAGGUGAGUGGAAUUCCGAGUGUAGAGGUGAAAUUCGUAGAUAUUCGGAAGAACACCAGUGGCGAAGGCGGCUCACUGGACUGGUAUUGACGCUGAUGUGCGAAAAGCGUGGGGAGCAAACAGG